GACCCAGUGGUGUAAUGGUAACACAUUCCUGUAUCCUUGGGUUUGGAUAUGUGUGUCUUCAUGGAAGGAUCGGAGUUUGACUCUCCGUUGGGCCC